rnacentral:rRNA from 1 species
UGGGGAAUAUUGGACAAUGGGCGAAAGCCUGAUCCAGCCAUGCCGCGUGUGAAGAAGGUCUUCGGAUUGUAAAGCACUUUAAGUUGGGAGGAAGGGCAGUUACCUAAUACGUGAUUGUCUUGACGUUACCGACAGAAUAAGCACCGGCUAACUCUGUGCCAGCAGCCGCGGUAAUACAGAGGGUGCAAGCGUUAAUCGGAAUUACUGGGCGUAAAGCGCGCGUAGGUGGUUUGUUAAGUUGGAUGUGAAAUCCCCGGGCUCAACCUGGGAACUGCAUUCAAAACUGACAGGCUAGAGUAUGGUAGAGGGUGGUGGAAUUUCCUGUGUAGCGGUGAAAUGCGUAGAUAUAGGAAGGAACACCAGUGGCGAAGGCGACCACCUGGACUGAUACUGACACUGAGGUGCGAAAGCGUGGGGAGCAAAACAGGAUUAGAUACCCUGGUAGUCCACGCCGUAAAACGAUGUCAACUAGCCGUUGGGAGCCUUGAGCUCUUAGUGGCGCAGCUAACGCAUUAAGUUGACCGCCUGGGGAGUACGGCCGCAAGGUUAAAAACUCAAAUGAAUUGACGGGGUCAUAGCUGUUUCCUG